rnacentral:rRNA from 1 species
ACCUCACUUGUGGGGGGAUUAAGUGGCGAACGGGUGAGUAACACGUGAGUAACCUGCCCUUGACUCUGGGAUAAGCCUGGGAAACCGGGUCUAAUACUGGAUACGACCUUCCCGCGCAUGCGGUGUUGGUGGAAAGCUUUUGCGGUUUUGGAUGGACUCGCGGCCUAUCAGCUUGUUGGUGGGGUAAUGGCCUACCAAGGCGACGACGGGUAGCCGGCCUGAGAGGGUGACCGGCCACACUGGGACUGAGACACGGCCCAGACUCCUACGGGAGGCAGCAGUGGGGAAUAUUGCACAAUGGGCGCAAGCCUGAUGCAGCGACGCCGCGUGAGGGAUGAAGGCCUUCGGGUUGUAAACCUCUUUCAGUAGGGAAGAAGCUGGCCUUUGGGUUGGUGACGGUACCUGCAGAAGAAGCGCCGGCUAACUACGUGCCAGCAGCCGCGGUAAUACGUAGGGCGCAAGCGUUAUCCGGAAUUAUUGGGCGUAAAGAGCUCGUAGGCGGUUUGUCGCGUCUGCCGUGAAAGUCCGGGGCUUAACUCCGGAUCUGCGGUGGGUACCGGCAGACUAGAGUGCAGUAGGGGAGACUGGAAUUCCUGGUGUAACCGGUGAAAUGCGCAGAUAUCAGGAGGAACACCGAUGG